rnacentral:rRNA from 1 species
AUUGAACGCUGGCGGCAUGCCUUACACAUGCAAGUCGAACGGCAGCACGGGAGCAAUCCUGGUGGCGAGUGGCGAACGGGUGAGUAAUAUAUCGGAACGUGCCCAGUAGUGGGGGAUAGCCCGGCGAAAGCCGGAUUAAUACCGCAUGAGACCUGAGGGUGAAAGCGGGGGAUCGCAAGACCUCGCGCUAUUGGAGCGGCCGAUAUCAGAUUAGCUAGUUGGUGGGGUAAAGGCCUACCAAGGCAACGAUCUGUAGGUGGUCUGAGAGGACGAACAGCCACACUGGGACUGAGACACGGCCCAGACUCCUACGGGAGGCAGCAGUGGGGAAUUUUGGACAAUGGGCGCAAGCCUGAUCCAGCAAUGCCGCGUGCAGGAAGAAGGCCUUCGGGUUGUAAACUGCUUUUGUCAGGGAAGAAAUCCCUUGGGAUAAUACCUCGGGGGGAUGACGGUACCUGAAGAAUAAGCACCGGCCAACUACGUGCCAGCCGCCGCGGUAACAC